GACGAGCUCUCCAAACGUUAAUCGGAAUUACUGGGCGUAAAGCGUGCGCAGGCUGUUUUGUAAGUCAGAUGUGAAAUCCCCGAGCUCAACUUGGGAACUGCGUUUGAAACUACAAGACUAGAAUAGGUCAGAGGGGGGUAGAAUUCCACGUGUAGCAGUGAAAUGCGUAGAGAUGUGGAGGAAUAUCAAUGGCGAAGGCAGCCCCCUGGGAUCAUAUUGACGCUCAUGCACGAAAGCGUGGGGAGCAAACAGG
rnacentral:rRNA from 1 species